AGUAAGGAAUAUUGGACAAUGGAGGCAACUCUGAUCCAGCCAUGCCGCGUGAAGGAUUAAGGCCCUAUGGGUUGUAAACUUCUUUUAGACGGGACAAAACCCCUUUACGUGUAAAGGGUUGAUGGUACUGUCAGAAUAAGCAUCGGCUAACUUCGUGCCAGCAGCCGCGGUAAUACGAAGGAUGCAAGCGUUAUCCGGAAUUAUUGGGUUUAAAGGGUGCGUAGGCGGACUAAUAAGUCAGUGAUGAAAGCCUGCAGCUUAACUGCAGAAUUGCCGUUGAUACUGUUAGUCUUGAGUACAGUUGAGGUAGGCGGAAUGUGUCAUGUAGCGGUGAAAUGCUUAGAUAUGACACAGAACACCGAUUGCGAAGGCAGCUUGCUAAGCUGUAACUGACGCUGAGGCACGAAAGCGUGGGGAGCAAACAGGAUUAGAUACCCUGGUAGUCCACGCCCUAAACGAUGAUAACUCGCUGUUGGCGAUACACUGUCAGCAGCCAAGCGAAAGCAUUAAGUUAUCCACCUGGGGAGUACGACCGCAAGGUUGAAACUCAAA
rnacentral:rRNA from 1 species